GGAGGCAUAGCUCAGUCGGUUAGAGCGCUCGCUUCACAUGCGAGAGGCCGCUGGUUCGAGUCCAGCUGUCUCCACCA
rnacentral:tRNA from 1 species